CUAAAACCUGCAGGACACCGGCCCUCCAGGCGUUGCUAUGGCAGGAACGCCUCUUUGUUCCAGAGUAUGAAGUGUGGGCUUUGUGUCAGCAAAUUCAGUGAAUAUUUGUUGCAUCGUUUGCAUCGUUCUGCUCGGAGCUGGAGCUGCUUCACUCGAUCGACUCUCCUUUGCUAAAUGUCGCUGAGCUACUGACUCAGCCAGAGUCAUCAGAUGAGUCACAGGAAACAUCAGCUAAUUAGUACUUAAGGAGAUGAGUAAUACCAAGGCAAGAGUCUUCCAGGGAAAAUGGUCUGACCUUUACCAGCAGCGAGCUUUUGUAGACUCUAAUUUGAGGUUUGAUCAAAAAUCAGAUCUAUAAAAAUCCAAAAGGACCAGAUUGAAAUUUGAUCUUCUGUCCAGUAUCAUCGUCUCAGUCAUGUUGGGAGAGGUUCGAGCCCUGCUGCUAGUUUUCCAAACAAGACUCCCAGAAGUCCCACUCUGAACCGCUUCAAUUGUGCACUGUGGGAUUUCAUCAGGAGCUUCAAACCAUCAUCAUCUCCUUCAGACUAACUAACUAACUAAGUAGAGGUGAUGACAGCUGGGUCUCGAGCUGCAAUCCAGGGUUUUUGGCUGUUUACAGAGGAAGAGUUCAGUUUCCAAGCCUGAAGGCAGCGACGUGCGAAACCAGGAGCUUUUUUUUUCCAUUUGGAGGAAUUGAUCCAAAUCAGAAAAAGUGUGUGUUUGGUGGUGGUUGGCUGAACUUUCAGAGGGAACAAUUUGAACUGUGGUGCAUGCCAGCUCUCCAUCUCAUGCCCGUCCACAUGCACAUCUCCAUCUCCACACAGGCUGCUACCCAAAAUCAGCUCCCUGCAACUAUUCCCACUUCGUGGCAAUGAAAAUUAAGUCAAAGGUUUGCUGUUCGAACACACUGCACGAGAUCCUGCACCCAAUUCACCUGGAGCCAGAUGCACUUAAAGAACUGAACGUCCAGAACGUGUCUGCUAGGUAGACUCAGAGCAGCGCACCACUGUCCUAAGACUGAUUUUGAGGCUCCCGGUUGCAAUAAUUUUAAUGUUUUAUGCAUUUAAACCUCACUGAUUCUUUCCAGUGAUGAGAAGAAGACUGAUUUCAAAGAAGUCUAUGAGAACAUGACACCA
ensembl:lncRNA